UAGGGAAUCUUCGGCAAUGGACGGAAGUCUGACCGAGCAACGCCGCGUGAGUGAAGAAGGUUUUCGGAUCGUAAAGCUCUGUUGUUAGAGAAGAACGUUGGUAGGAGUGGAAAAUCUACCAAGUGACGGUAACUAACCAGAAAGGGACGGCUAACUACGUGCCAGCAGCCGCGGUAAUACGUAGGUCCCGAGCGUUGUCCGGAUUUAUUGGGCGUAAAGCUAGCGCAGGCGGUUCUUUAAGUCUGAAGUUAAAGGCAGUGGCUUAACCAUUGUACGCUUUGGAAACUGGAGGACUGGAGUGCAGAAGGGGAGAGUGGAAUUCCAUGUGUAGCGGUGAAAUGCGUAGAUAUAUGGAGGAACACCGGUGGCGAAAGCGGCUAUCUGGUCUGUAACUGACGCUGAGGCUCGAAAGCGUGGGGAGCAAAACAGG
rnacentral:rRNA from 1 species